GUGGAUGACAUUCACCGCGUGCCUUAAUAUUUUUGUUAUGAAUAAUAUUUAUAACUCAUCAAGGCAAUCGCGGAAAAUGGCAUACA
rnacentral:pre_miRNA from 1 species